rnacentral:rRNA from 1 species
GGGUUGUGAGGUUAAGCGACUAAGCGUACACGGUGGAUGCCCUGGCAGUCAGAGGCGAUGAAGGACGUGCUAAUCUGCGAUAAGCGCCGGUAAGGUGAUAUGAACCGUUAUAACCGGCGAUUUCCGAAUGGGGAAACCCAGUGUGAUUCGUCACACUAUCAUUACGUGAAUACAUAGCGUAAUGAAGCGAACCGGGGGAACUGAAACAUCUAAGUACCCCGAGGAAAAGAAAUCAACCGAGAUUCCCCCAGUAGCGGCGAGCGAACGGGGAGCAGCCCAGAGUCUGAAUCAGCAUGUGUGUUAGUGGAACGGUCUGGAAAGUCCGACGGUACAGGGUGAUAGUCCCGUACACAAAAAUGCACAGGUUGUGAACUCGAAGAGUAGGGCGGGACACGUGGUAUCCUGUCUGAAUAUGGGGGGACCAUCCUCCAAGGCUAAAUACUCCUGACUGACCGAUAGUGAACCAGUACCGUGAGGGAAAGGCGAAAAGAACCCCGGCGAGGGGAGUGAAAAAGAACCUGAAACCGUGUACGUACAAGCAGUGGGAGCACCUUCGGGUGUGACUGCGUACCUUUUGUAUAAUGGGUCAGCGACUUAUAUUCUGUAGCAAGGUUAACCGUAUAGGGGAGCCGAAGGGAAACCGAGUCUUAACUGGGCGUUAAGUUGCAGGGUAUAGACCCGAAACCCGGUGAUCUAGCCAUGGGCAGGUUGAAGGUUGGGUAACACUAACUGGAGGACCGAACCGACUAAUGUUGAAAAAUUAGCGGAUGAC